rnacentral:rRNA from 1 species
CUANCUNUUNCUGCGAAACUGCGAACGGCUCAUUAAAUCAGUUAUAAUUUACUUGAUCGUAUUUCCCCUACUGGAAUACCGGGANGAUUCCAAAACUUAUACCUGGCUAAAAACCCGAAUCUCUCAUUGGGGAUGAUAGGANGAAUUUAUUACAUUACCGGCCACCGCACGGGAUUCGAUUUGUAAUAACUGGUGUCUGCCCAGGUCCAGGGCCUUUUAUGACAAAUUCAAAGUGAUUCCCUAUAACUUGUCGAAGCUCAGAUGCAUUACCCGGCNAUGAUCCAUGCGAAUUUCUGCCUUAUCAACUUUCGACGGUAGUAUAGAGGACUACCGUGGUUACAACGGGUAACGGGGAACGAUUCAGUCGAUUUUCUGCCCCUUCANGUCUCGAUGGUAGGAUAGAGGCCUACCAUGGUCUCAACGGGUAACGGGGAAUUUUUCGGAGCNGNUGNGUUNAAAUUUUUNUCUUUGCUUUNGNUUUGUUUUNGU